rnacentral:rRNA from 1 species
CCUACGGGAGGCAGCAGUAGGGAAUCUUCCACAAUGGGCGAAAGCCUGAUGGAGCAACGCCGCGUGAGUGAUGAAGGCCUUCGGGUUGUAAAACUCUGUCAUUCGGGACGAACCGGAGUCUGAGGAAAUGCAGACUCUUUGACGGUACCGGAGGAGGAAGCCCCGGCUAACUACGUGCCAGCAGCCGCGGUAAUACGUAGGGGGCAAGCGUUGUCCGGAUUCACUGGGCGUAAAGCGCGCGCAGGCGGUGAUGUAAGUCUGAGGUGAAAACCCGAAGCUCAACUUCGGGACUGCCUUGGAUACUGCGUCACUUGAGGAUAGGAGAGGCAAGGGGAAUUCCACGUGUAGCGGUGAAAUGCGUAGAGAUGUGGAGGAACACCUGUGGCGAAGGCGCCUUGCUGGCCUAUUUCUGACGCUGAGGCGCGAAAGCGUGGGGAGCAAACAGGAUUAGAUACCCUGGUAGUCCACGCUGUAAACGAUGAGUGCUAGGUGUAGGUGGGCUCAUACCACUCUGUGCGACGACGUACGACGAUUAAGACGUAACGUCCGUCCGUUCGGGGUUAGGUACGGGUUCGGCGAAGACGUUAGAACGUACGAAAGGAAGUUAGGACGGCGUUGGAGACGNGCCGACGGACGACGACGAGGGAGGUAGG